GAGAGGAGGUACCCAUGCAUCGUAGAUGCAUAUAAAAUGGUACCGACGAUAUGCCGUUACCCAUAAUGGGAGGGGGCAAUACCUAUG
rnacentral:sRNA from 1 species